rnacentral:rRNA from 1 species
UCGAUGGUAGGAUAGAGGCCUACCAUGGUUUUAACGGGUAACGGGGAAUUAGGGUUCGAUUCCGGAGAGGGAGCCUGAGAAACGGCUGCCACAUCCAAGGAAGGCAGCAGGCGCGCAAAUUACCCAAUCCCAAUACGGGGAGGUAGUGACAAUAAAUAACAAUAUGGGGCUCUUACGGGUCUCGUAAUUGGAAUGAGUACAAUUUAAAUCUCUUAACGAGGAACAAUUGGAGGGCAAGUCUGGUGCCAGCAGCCGCGGUAAUUCCAGCUCCAAUAGCGUAUAUUAAAGUUGUUGCAGUUAAAAAGCUCGUAGUUGAAUUUCGGGGUUAGUAGGUUGGUCAUGCCUCUGGUAUGUACUGGUCUCACUGAUUCCUCCUUCCUGAUGAACCGUAAUGCCAUUAAUUUGGUGUUGCGGGGAAUUUGGACUGUUACUUUGAAAAAAUUAGAGUGUUUAAAGCAAGCUAACGCUUGAAUACAUUAGCAUGGAAUAAUGAAAUAGGACGUUCGAUCCUAUUUUGUUGGUUUCUAGGAUUGACGUAAUGAUUAAUAGGGAUAGUUGGGGGCAUUAGUAUUCAAUUGUCAGAGGUGAAAUUCUUGGAUUUAUUGAAGACUAACUACUGCGAAAGCAUUUGCCAAGGAUGUUUUCAUUAAUCAAGAACGAAAGUUAGGGGAUCGAAGACGAUCAGAUACCGUCGUAGUCUUAACCAUAAACUAUGCCGACUAGGGAUCGGAUGAUGUUAAUUUUUUAAUGACUCAUUCGGCGCCUUACGGGAAACCAAAGUGUUUGGGUUC